rnacentral:rRNA from 1 species
UACGUAGGGGGCGAGCGUUGUCCGGAUUUAUUGGGCGUAAAAGGCUUGUAGGUGGCCACGUCAAGUCGGAUGUGAAAUCUCCCGGCUCAACUGGGAGGGGUCAUUCGAUACUGGCGGUCUCGAGUCCGGGAGAGGUGAGUGGAACUGCGAGUGUAGAGGUGAAAUGCGUAGAUAUUUGGAGGAACACCAGUGGCGAAAGCGGCUUUCUGGGACAUUCCUGACACUGAGGUUCGAAAGCUGGGGGAGCAAACGGG